GCCAAUAAGACUGAUUGGCCUAAACCUCUAAAGACAAUGUGUUAUGAAUUAGAGGUCACAGGACUAUCCCAACUUAUAAACCAAAUUUGGUCAAAAUCUGUGAUUGAAGCCUUAGCACCUUCUGCAUGGUUUUCUCGUGGACACGCUCUUAACAAGGUAACUGUCCUGAACGAACAUAAACCAUUUCACCAAACUGGCUAUGAUGUUAGCAUUAUCUACAACUAUGAAUUAAUCUAAUGGGUUAAUGAAUAGUUAAUUCUUAAAAGAAUUCUUCUGCUAGGAGCAAACCUGGUUGUCAUGUUUUGGUGAUUGGCAGAUUAGUACUUAUGAUCAUGGAAAAAUAUAUAUUAGAUUUAUUCUUUGGCCUUAAACUUUCUUAAGAUAUAAAGUUUGAUCAUCAGAUUAAUACCCAAGCAUUUAUUAUUGAAUGUUAUUGGAGUGCCUGUACUUGUACCAAACUGGAUUAUUAUUUUGCUUUUGGUGGUGAUGGGCAGAUCAACACUGUGCAUUUAUUAUUGAAUGUUAUUGGAGCGCCUGUACUUGUACCAAACUGGAUUAUUAUUUUGCUUUUGGUGGUGAUGGGCAGAUCAACACUGUGCAUUUAUUAUUGAAUGUUAUUGGCGCGCCUGUACUUGUACCAAACUGGAUUAUUAUUUUGCUUUUAGUGGUGAUGGGCAGAUCAACACUGUGCAUUUAUUAUUGAAUUUCAUUGGAGCGCCUGUACUUGUACCAAACUGGAUUAUUAUUUUGCUUUUGGUGAUGGGCAGAUCAACACUGUGGUUUUCAAGGAAAGAUGUCUUAUUUCCAAUUUUAAAGAAUCUUGCUGAAAUCUUAAUGUUUUUCCUUCAACUUUAUUCUGGUUCCUUAUUGUAUCUAAAAUAAAUUAAGAAUGCAAAAUCUGACUUGU